AUGAUAUAACCUGUUUUUUUGUCAUUGUCAUAUAUAGAAAUUGAAACGGGUCUUUUAUAGCGUUUGGAAGGGUUAAAAUUUUUGCAACGCUACAGGUACAAGGAACGCAAACUUGGAGCUGCAAAAACCAGUUCCUCAUCCAAACGAUAAACAACUUCAUUGUUACAUCACAUUCGAUUGUAUUCGAUGACAAAAAUUAGGCUUUCAUGAAAAAAAAAAACCUUGUCUCCUUUUAUCUUGGAACAGCGUUAGUUAAGGCAGAACAUUCGUUGGAAUAUAAUAAUGUGGAAGCUAACAAAAGGCGAAAAUUAGAGCGGACGGUGCGAAAGAGAUGGAGGACGGCAGUGAAGCAGCAGCGGUUAAAAAAAAAUAGAAACAAGGUGAAAUUGAAACUGUAAGUUCCCGUUUACGAACAAACGCAUUCAUUCUAUUUAAUCCAAAAAUUUCCGAAACGCUGUUAGAAAACGGUCAUGUGGAAAUAGUUCACUUAUAAAUGUUUGCUUGCGGUAAUUGGUAACUCUA